CAGACCUUCGGGUCAACAGGCUCGAAACUUCACACGUCAGGUACUGUUGAUGAGGGAACUCCAAGUGCUAUCACUAUGUUGUGUAGCUUCUCUGUACUAUUAAUUCGUUCAUGGAAUAAGGGUUGGGUAAGACCCGGGUGCCAGCCGCCCUCGUUAAUUACCGGCAGCUCAAGUGUUCGUCGCUGUUAUUGGGGCCUAAUACGUCACGUAGCCUGUUUGGUAAAUCUGUGGGUAAAUCAACCAGCUUAACUAGUGUUGAAUUCUGCAGAGACUGCCAGACUAGGGACCGGGAGAGGUGUGGGGUACUCUAUGGGUAGGGUUAUAAUCCUGUCAUCCUUAGAGGACCACCAGUUGCGAAGGCGCCACACUGGAACGGAUCCGACGGUCAGGGACGAAGCCUAGGGGCACGAACCGGAUUAGAUACCCGGGUAGUCCUAGGUGUAAACGCUGUGAACUUGGUGUCGGGGAUCCGUAAUGGGUCCUCGGUGCCGGAGUGAAGAUGUUAAGUUCACUGCCUGGGGUGUACGGUCGCAAGGCUGAAACUCAAAUGAAUUGACGG
rnacentral:rRNA from 1 species